UACGGAGGGUGCGAGCGUUGUCCGGAAUCACUGGGCGUAAAGGGCGCGUAGGCGGCUUCUCAAGCGUGUGGUGAAAGUCCGGGGCUCAACCCCGGAUCGGCCGUGCGGACUGGGGAGCUCGAGUUCUGUAGAGGCGGGUGGAAUUCCGGGCGUAGCGGUGGAAUGCGUAGAGAUCCGGAAGAACACCGGUGGCGAAGGCGGCCCGCUGGGCAGAGACUGACGCUGAGGCGCGACAGCGUGGGGAGCAAACAGG
rnacentral:rRNA from 1 species